rnacentral:rRNA from 1 species
CGGAGGGUGCAAGCGUUAUCCGGAUUCACUGGGUUUAGAGGGUGCGUAGGUGGGCAAGUAAGUCAGUGGUGAAAUCUCCGGGCUUAACCCGGAAACUGCCAUUGAUACUAUUUGUCUUGAAUACUGUGGAGGUCAGCGGAAUAUGUCAUGUAGCGGUGAAAUGCUUAGAUACGACAUAGAACACCAAUUGCGAAGGCAGCUGGCUACACAAAUAUUGACACUGAGGCACGAAAGCGUGGGGAUCAAACAGGAUUAGAUACCCUGGUAGUCCACGCCCUAAACUAUGGAUACUCGACAUUUGCGAUAAACUGCAAGUGUCUGAGCGAAAGCAUUAAGUAUCCCACCUGGGAAGUACGAUCGCAAGAUUG